rnacentral:ncRNA from 1 species
UGACAAGCAAUGAUCGGGACAAGGAAUAUAUUGGUCCAUGGCACAGAGAGCCGGCGGAUGGUGCAAGCCGGUGCAUUCCAGUAUUGACUAUCACCUGUGAGCCCCUUGGUUGAACGUAGUAAACCGAGGCGUCUGUCCACGUUACGGAUAUAAGCACAGAGUAUAAUGUAGGGUGGUACCGCGCAUGUCGCCCCUAUUUCCGAAAGGAAAUAGGGGCGUUUUUUGUAGGACCUCUUUUCAUAAACCUCUUGCUUCAUGAGUGAUAAAUACAGGGUGGUACCGCGGAUUCCAAUUCGCCCCUGCU